GAUGAACGCUGGCGGCGUGCCUAAUACAUGCAAGUCGAGCGAACAGACGAGGAGCUUGCUCCUCUGACGUUAGCGGCGGACGGGUGAGUAACACGUGGAUAACCUACCUAUAAGACUGGGAUAACUUCGGGAAACCGGAGCUAAUACCGGAUAAUAUAUUAAACCGCAUGGUUCAAUAGUGAAAGACGGUUUUGCUGUCACUUAUAGAUGGAUCCGCGCCGCAUUAGCUAGUUGGUAAGGUAACGGCUUACCAAGGCAACGAUGCGUAGCCGACCUGAGAGGGUGAUCGGCCACACUGGAACUGAGACACGGUCCAGACUCCUACGGGAGGCAGCAGUAGGGAAUCUUCCGCAAUGGGCGAAAGCCCGACGGAGCAACGCCGCGUGAGUGAUGAAGGUCUUCGGAUCGUAAAACUCUGUUAUUAGGGAAGAACAAAUGUGUAAGUAACUAUGCACGUCUUGACGGUACCUAAUCAGAAAGCCACGGCUAACUACGUG
rnacentral:rRNA from 1 species